rnacentral:lncRNA from 1 species
UAGAACAAACCAAUUAUUUCAUUUUGAGAAUGAGGUAAGCAGUAUUGUCUAAUGCUACAAAACCAAUAUUAUUUUACCUGCAAAAGAACCAAUAUUAUUUUAAUUUUUUUUAAUAUGAAUGUACUUGUGCAACUUUUGUACGCUAAGCGCCCGGUAUAAUUUAACUAACUGUUAAUGUAAAAAAUAGAAAAAAUAAUUUUCCAAACAUAAUGUGCCUUAUAUUAAUGGAUGGAGCGACUUAGAGUAAUCAUUAUAUUUUGUUGUUACUGUACGAUCCUCAUAUUGUUUUUAGAGUCAAUGAUAAUGACGGCUGAUGUAUCAUUGACCGUUAAUUGUUGUUUUUACAUUGUUAUUGAUACAUAAAAAUUCUUUUAUUGCUAGGUCAUCCCAAAACUCUUCUAAAUGAAGUAAUCUAAAUAAACUCAGAAUCACCGAUUGAAUACCCCACUCGCAAUCUUUAGCCACAUCGAUUAUAUAACUUUUGGCUAAUUAUUAAUGGAAAUAUCUUAUAUUACUCUAUCCGUU